GACGAACGCUGGCGGCGUGCCUAAUACAUGCAAGUUGAGCGAUGAAGAUUGGUGCUUGCACCAAUUUGAAGAGCAGCGAACGGGUGAGUAACGCGUGGGGAAUCUGCCUUUGAGCGGGGGACAACAUUUGGAAACGAAUGCUAAUACCGCAUAACAACUUUAAACAUAAGUUUUAAGUUUGAAAGAUGCAAUUGCAUCACUCAAAGAUGAUCCCGCGUUGUAUUAGCUAGUUGGUGAGGUAAAGGCUCACCAAGGCGAUGAUACAUAGCCGACCUGAGAGGGUGAUCGGCCACAUUGGGACUGAGACACGGCCCAAACUCCUACGGGAGGCAGCAGUAGGGAAUCUUCGGCAAUGGACGAAAGUCUGACCGAGCAACGCCGCGUGAGUGAAGAAGGUUUUCUGAUCGUAAAACUCUGUUGGUAGAGAAGAACGUUGGUGAGAGUGGAAAGCUCAUCAAGUGACGGUAACUACCCAGAAAGGGACGGCUAACUACGUG
rnacentral:rRNA from 1 species